UGAAAAGCAAUGAACAGGAAGAGUACAUUGGUCCUUACUUUCAGAGAGGAAAAUCGUUUGCUGAGAGAUUUUCUACGUUAAGACAAUGGAAGGUCGCCUGAAGAGCUGCUUCUAUGAAUGUCAGUAGUAGAAGCCGGUUAAAAGCCGUUAUAAUCGUCGAGAGUUCAGGAGGUUUCUUACUCCUGAGAAAAAAGGUGGUACCGCGAAUGGAAUCCUUCGUCCUUUUC
rnacentral:ncRNA from 1 species